rnacentral:rRNA from 1 species
GAUGAACGCUGGCGGCGUGCUUAACACAUGCAAGUCGAACGGAAAGGCUCCUGCUUGCAGGGGUACUCGAGUGGCGAACGGGUGAGUAACACGUGGGUGAUCUGCCCUGCACUUCGGGAUAAGCCUGGGAAACUGGGUCUAAUACCGGAUAGGACGAUGGUUUGGAUGCCAUUGUGGAAAGUUUUUUCGGUGUGGGAUGAGCUCGCGGCCUAUCAGCUUGUUGGUGGGGUAAUGGCCUACCAAGGCGUCGACGGGUAGCCGGCCUGAGAGGGUGUACGGCCACAUUGGGACUGGGAUACGGCCCAGACUCCUACGGGAGGCAGCAGUGGGGAAUAUUGCACAAUGGGCGCAAGCCUGAUGCAGCGACGCCGCGUGGGGGAUGACGGCCUUCGGGUUGUAAACUCCUUUCGCUAGGGACGAAGCGCAAGUGACGGUACCUGGAGAAGAAGCACCGGCUAACUACGUG